rnacentral:rRNA from 1 species
UACGAACGCUGGCGGCGUGCUUAACACAUGCAAGUCGAACGGAAAGGCCCUGCUUUUGUGGGGUGCUCGAGUGGCGAACGGGUGAGUAACACGUGAGUAACCUGCCCUUGACUUUGGGAUAACUUCAGGAAACUGGGGCUAAUACCGGAUAGGAGCUCCUGCUGCAUGGUGGGGGUUGGAAAGUUUCGGCGGUUGGGGAUGUACUCGCGGCUUAUCAGCUUGUUGGUGGGGUAGUGGCUUACCAAGGCUUUGACGGGUAGCCGGCCUGAGAGGGUGACCGGCCACAUUGGGACUGAGAUACGGCCCAGACUCCUACGGGAGGCAGCAGUGGGGAAUAUUGCACAAUGGGCGGAAGCCUGAUGCAGCAACGCCGCGUGCGGGAUGACGGCCUUCGGGUUGUAAACCGCUUUCGCCUGUGACGAAGCGUGAGUGACGGUAAUGGGUAAAGAAGCACCGGCUAACUACGUG